rnacentral:rRNA from 1 species
GACAGAGGUGCCGAGCGUUAGGCGGAAUCACUGGGCUUAAAGCGUGUGUAGGCGGACGCCUAAGUACCUUGUGAAAUCCCACGGCUCAACCGUGGAACGGCUGGGUAGACUGGGCGUCUUGAGCCACCUAAGGGCAGACGGAACAAGCGGUGGAGCGGUGAAAUGCGUAGAGAUCCGGAGGAACACCAGAGGCGAAGGCGGCGCGCUGGGCUGCAUCUGACGCUGAAACGCGAAAGCCAGGGUAGCGAACGGG